GGGGGGGGGGGGGGGGGGGGGGGGGGGGGGGGGGGGGGGCCGCGCUCCCAGAGACGGGCGCGGUGACGGCCGGCAGCCGGGGCUCUGGCGUCGGGCGGCAUGUGCCGCUGCCCGACGGAAGAUGGGCUGUACUGCCUGUGCCUGGCCCCUGUUAGCCUGGAGAAAUUAUUUAAGAAGCUGAUUAUGGAUUCAGGAAGCAGAGUAGCUGCAGUUUUCAUCUGCUCUGAGGAGGAAGAAAGAAAGAAGAUUGAAGCUGCAACCAUGUUGUGAAGGAUUGCACUUUAGCACUGUUUGCUUUAGGAUGAGCUUGCAGAAGAAUUAACCUGACAGUAAAAAGUCCUACAGUGGUGUUCAUGAAUGCUACUUCUGGGAAGGGAAGGACAUCAGAAGAAAGGAUUUUAUUAAAAGUGCCAAACUAUGUUUAACUGCUUAACAAAAGGUGUGGAGUUUUGUUUUUUUUUAAUUGUGUCUUUUAAAAAAAUUUUGUUUCAGUAAUUUUGGGCACUUUCUUUUUGUUAUUUUUGGUGGGGGUUUUUUGUUUUUGGUGGGGUUUUUUUGUUUUGUUUUUUUUUUUGUUUUGUUUUUGUUUUUUUUUUUUUUUUUGGUUUGGUUUUUUUUUUUUUGGUGGGUUGGGUUUUUUUUGGGGGGGGGGGGGGGGGGGGGGGGGGGGGGGGGGGGGGGGGGGGGGGGGGGGGGGGGGGGGGGGGGGGGGGGGGGGGGGGGGGGGGGGGGGGGGGGGGGGGGGGGGGGGGGGGGG
rnacentral:lncRNA from 1 species